ensembl:lncRNA MIR924HG MIR924 host gene
ACGCAGAGAAUUCCAUGGAGACUCUGAUGGCUAGGGCACCGUUGAGCUGUUGCAACUGUUCUGCUGGAGCCUUAUGUAUGUGGUUGAAACCACCUGUACUACUGGAAUGAAAGCACCUUUACAGAAGAGGCAAUGCAAGUUGUAUUCAUCACAUGUGUAGAAUGAAUUAAGAUUUAUGCCAGUUGCAAAGAAGAAUAUUGGCUCACUAUUUUUCCUCUGGGCAUGUGGAAAUGUAAAUCAGUCCAUGUUACUCACCUCGGAGAAGCAGAAGUACGAUUUACUAUUGUUGCUUGCUUACUUACUCUUAUCAAUUUCUAUGAGAGAGUUGUACUGCGACAUUAGCUCUUUUGACUAGAUGUGAUGACAGACUGUCUUUGGUCCAUUCUCUUUUAUUGCCUUGGAAGAGAAUAAAUGAGGAGUAGUUCUCACCCAUUGCAGCUGAGGCAUCACACCUGUAAUGGGAUUAACAAGAUGAUAAUAUAUCUUUUGCCAAGACCACAUACUAGCAGAAGAAUUCCAAAUGUGCUACCAUCCAUGUAGUUUUACUUGAAAAACCCCCUUGGAAAUUAACAAUAAGGCACUGACUGGAGCUGAAUUUGCAAAUGUUUUAGGAAGAAACUUUAUCUCAGACUACCCUUGAUGUAUCAAAAUAUUUAAAGCAAUUGGCAAAGGCAGUGAGCAAUUCACUCUCAGGCACAUGAAUAUCACCGGGAGAGGGCUGAAUGUUCAGAUAUGCAAGAGGGAAAGCUAAAGCACACAAGUCCUUUUAGACCCAGGCUCAGAAGUGAUACACCGUCUCUUUCAACUCAUUCUAUUGGCCAAAUAAUCAGACCAUAUGAUGUCCUGAAAAUUCUUCCACAAUAUUUAACCAACACUUUCCAGAAAAACUUCAUUUAUCUCCAUGUACCAAUAUUUUGGGGUCCAGCCCAAUUCCUGUCCCUUCAGUGAAGCCUUAUUUAAUUUUACCAAUAAAUAAUAGCUCUCUUUUUUG